rnacentral:tRNA from 2 species
GGGCUAUUAGCUCAGUUGGUUAGAGCGUACGCUUGAUAAGCGUAAGGUCACAGGUUCAAGUCCCGUAUGGCCCA